rnacentral:rRNA from 1 species
UACGUAGGGGGCAAGCGUUAUCCGGAUUUACUGGGUGUAAAGGGAGCGUAGACGGUUGUGCAAGCCUGAAGUGAAAGCCCGCGGCUCAACUGCGGAACGGCUUUGGAAACUGUGUAACUGGAGUGCUGGAGAGGUAAGCGGAAUUCCUGGUGUAGCGGUGAAAUGCGUAGAGAUCAGGAGGAACACCGGCGGCGAAGGCGGCUUACUGGACAGUAACUGACGUUGAGGCUCGAAAGCGUGGGGAGCAAACAGG